rnacentral:lncRNA from 1 species
CCAUGGUACCCAGCCCCAGCUCUGCAGAGGCUUUUGUUCAAUUAUUGAUGUCUGGGGAAGGAAGCCCGUGGGCUGGCUGGGCUAGGAUGGAAGACAUGAUCCAGGUGAAGCAGGAAAACCAUCAGGAAGGGAGAAGAGGGGGCCUAGUCAGGUCUGUCCAUGUUGAUCAACCUGAAAACAUGUCCAGGAGAGGUGAUUAAAUGAAAAAGCAGCUUACAGAACAGCUCCAAGGGUGAGAUCAUUAAACUAUAGCAUGUGUGUGUGAGAGACAGACAGAAAGAGAUUUCAGAGACUUUCACCCAAAAAGUGAAUGGGGGUUAUUUCUGAGUGUUAGGAUUAUGAAGAAUUUCUAUGUUCUUCAGGCUUUCUGGAUUUCUUUAUUAAUAAGUAAUUACUAUUUUCAGAACCUGAAACACCAGUUCCUGGAGGGGGAGCAGGGAGAGGAAGAAGAUGCAAACAAAGAUGGAGAGUUCCUGGGAAGUACUCAUUCUGUCUCACAUACAUCUGUGCAUGAGUCCUCAAAGCCUGGUAUCCUCCACCCCAACCCCUCAAACCAAGACUAUGGCUCAAUCAGAAAGGGAUGUCCAAGGCUGGUGUUCAUGUGAGCAGAGGAGAGAAUUCCAGAUUGAGGAACAAACAAAGACACCAGGAAAUGGAGUCUAUCUCCCAUCCUUGCUAUCUGAGCCUGACUUAUGGCUGGCAUUGACCAAUGGGACUCAACAGAAGCCAUGUAUUGAGAUUUCCAUGCUUAUUCUCUCGGAACCCUGAGANNNNNNNNNNNNNNNNNNNNNNNNNNNNNNNNNNNNNNNNNNNNNNNNNNNNNNNNNNNNNNNNNNNNNNNNNNNAAUAUUGUAAAGCAAUUAUCCUUCAAUUAGAAAUAAAUUAAAAAACAAAAAGAAAUCCAAGAUGUAAGAACAUAUGAAGAUACAGUCCCAGAAAUCCUAGUUCUUCCAACCAUCCUAGAUGAGGCCCUAGGAGUGUGCAUGAGGCCAUGUUAGACCAAUUCACCCCAGCUGAAUUCCCAGACGGCUGCAGUUGCAUGAGUGAGCCCAGGGAAAACCAGUAGAAGAUCCUAGUCAAUCACAAACUUAUGAGACACAAUAAAUUGCUUUUGCUUUAAGCUACAAAGUUUUGGAGUUAAUUCUUACAUACCAAAGAUAACUGCUCUCUUUUACAAAAAGAAUAAUUUCAAUACUCUUAAAAAUCCAAAUAAGAUGUGGAAGUCUCCAUUCUACAUAAUAGGGGAAGUUCUCCUUAACCUGACUUUUUCGAAGGUAUUCAUGUUUCCCUGCCAAUAUGUUCUACAGUGCUCUUUCCACUAUUGACUACUUUGACAUUCUCCGUUACCGCUUUUGUCAUUCUCUCACAAGCCCACUUAAACCCACACUAUAAAUGACUGUAAUUCCUCUGUUGCCUGCCCCAAAGUACCACAAACACAAGCUUGUGUAGGUCUCAGACUUUCACUAAAGGUAAAAGAUAAGAUACUAAAAGCACUGUAUUAUUUAUCUAUUACUGUGCAAUACUCAAAAAUUUAGCAGCUUACAAUAAGCAUAUAUCAGUUAUAUAGUUUCUAUGGGUCAGGCCUUUGGUAAGCGGCUUAACUGGGUAGUUCUGGCUUCAGAAAUCUCCUGAGGGUGAAUCAAAAUGUAGGUCACAGCUGAAAUCAUCUGAAGGCUUGACUGGGGCUAAAAGUUCUGCUGUCAGAUGAUUCACUCACACGACUGUUGGUAGGAGUCCUUUUCAGAGCUUUAUAAGAGGCCCCAAGACAUGACAAGUUACUUCCCUCAGUGUGAGCCUGUGGUCUAGAAGAGCAAGAAAGAAGUUACAAUGUCUUUUAUGGCCUAGGCUUAGAAGUCUGUUAUUCCUGUAAUAGUUUCUUAGUUACAAAGUCAGCCCCAUUCAGUGCAAGGAGAGUCUACAUAAAUUUAUGAAUAUCAAGAAUUGGGGAUUAUUGGGGACUGUCCACCACAAGCCUCUAGGAUGAAAAUGACCCACACCAUUAGGAAUCUGUGAGGUCUUCAUCUCAUCAGUUUUGCCAAAUCACUAAAAGUAUCAACAAAAUUCCCCCCAAACAGAGUCACCAUGGAAAGCUGUACAGGGUGUUGACUAUACCAGUAAACCCAGUAGAGAGAUCUGAGCCCAAAACCCUAAUAGUGGUCUGUGUCUCUCCCAAGAAACAAGUGUCCUUUUCUGGACACAAAUAUACUUGAAAGACUGAGAUGUAUCUUUGUGGCUAAAGAAAACAACAGGAGAGCCUGCUGCUGCUGCUAAGUCGCUUCAGUCAUGUCUGACUCUGUGCGACCC